CUCCUACCUGCAGAAACACACAGCGGAGCACAUCAUUGACCUCAGGGAGGAGUGCUGGCAGCCGCUCAUCUACUAUCGGGCUUCUCUGUUGGCUGCAGCUGAAGCAGAAGACGCUGCGUCCUACGUUAGCUCUGACAGGAAGCCCAAUCGCUCUCCUUUCUCCAAACAAAAACUAGAAGGGAGCAAGUCCCCCUGCCCGUUCAGCCCCGUUGACUCCAAAGUUGGGAAAGCUCACAGAUCCAGCUUCAGUCCAAGCCAACAGGAAAAGACGGCCGACACGGACCCGUUUUCUGUCCCUGUGGAAGCUCCCGCAAAGAAAUUAAACAUCGAGGGAUCCGUGCUCAGCGCCGGCGGCGAGGCGAACGACGACACUGUGGAAGUUGAGCUGUAACGGUUAUGAGGAGGUUGGAGGAGGACUGGCGCUUCUGUUUGACCUCACACUGGACGUCACAAACUUUGAGUGAGACGUUUUACUUUCCUGUGUCUUCUCCGUUCUGAUGUGUCCCUGCGUCCUGUUCAUACAGGUUUGCUGAAAAUGCAGUACGUUAUGUUUCGUAUGAGGAUGUAGUUUUAAAGGAUAAUAUUUUUCUUUUUGUCGACAAAUCUCAUGAAAAGACAGAUCAAGAAUUUACACUAAAAAUACCACAAUUACGUGUGCCAAAUCUGUUAUAUCUUAUUCCUCUCUGCCAUAAACAAAGUAUUAAAAACAAACUAAAAACCGAUAGAUCCUAGCAGUAAAGUUAACCAGAAGACAAUAAAAUUUAAAGGUAACCAAUGUCUGUGGGAGCAACGCUGAUCCUGCAGCAAAGUGGGUCUUUAUUCAUAUAUAGCAAAAGCAGCCAUGUGUAUAAAUUUAGUAGUUUGCGUAACUUCAAACUGCUAAUUUAGUAAUAACUUCUAUCACCGUCCAGCCUGUCCAGGUAACGAGUAUAACUGUAAAACGUCCCCUAGUACAAAUAAAAAUAAAUAAAAUAAGUUUUCACCCUUUGAGGCAAAUUGGCUUGAUUUAUUUCAAA